UUNNAGGCUUAAUGGGAAUUGACAGGUUUAGAAAUAGACUUUUCUUCGGACAAUUUUCAAGGUGCUGCAUGGUUGUCGUCAGCUCGUGCCGUGAGGUGUUAGGUUAAGUCCUGCAACGAGCGCAACCCCUGUCACUAGUUGCCAUCAUUCAGUUGGGGACUCUAGUGAGACUGCCUACGCAAGUAGAGAGGAAGGUGGGGAUGACGUCAAAUCAUCACGGCCCUUACGCCUUGGGCCACACACGUAAUACAAUGGCCAGUACAGAGGGCAGCUACACAGCGAUGUGAUGCAAAUCUCGAAAGCUGGUCUCAGUUCGGAUUGGAGUCUGCAACUCGACUCUAUGAAGCUGGAAUCGCUAGUAAUCGCGCAUCAGCCAUGGCGCGGUGAAUACGUUCCCGGGA
rnacentral:rRNA from 1 species